rnacentral:rRNA from 1 species
CCUACGGGCGGCAGCAGUGGGGAAUAUUGGGCAAUGGGCGCAAGCCUGACCCAGCAACGCCGCGUGAAGGAAGAAGGCUCUCGGGUUUUAAACCUCCUUUCUCAGGGACGAAGAAUGUGACGGUACCUGAGGAAUAAGCCACGUCUAACUACGUGCCAGCAGACGCGGUAAUACGUAGGUGGCAAGCGUUAUCCGGAUUCAUUGGGUGUAAAGGGCGUGUAGGAGGGGGGGCAAGUGAGAUGUGAAAACUCGGGGCUCAACCCUGAGCCUGCAUUUGACACUGUGUUUCUUGAGUUCUGGGGAGGCAAUCGGAAUUCGGGGUGUAGCGGUGAAAUGCGUAGAUAUACGGAGGAACACCAGUGGCGAAGGCGGAUUGCUGGACAGUAACUGACGCUGAGGCGCGAAAGCGUGGGGAGCAAACAGGAUUAGAUACCCUUGUAGUC